rnacentral:rRNA from 1 species
UACCAGCUCGCCGAGUGGUAGGGAUGAUUAUUGGGCCUAAAGCGUCCGUAGCCGGCCUUUCAAGUCUCUUGUUAAAUCCAACGAUUCAAUCGCUGGACUGCAGGAGAUACUGUUAGGCUAGGGGGCGGGAGAAGCCGACGGUAUUUUCGGGGUAGGGGUAAAAUCCUAUAAUCCCGGGAAGACCACCAGUGGCGUAGGCGGUCGGCUAGCACGCGCUCGACGGUGAGGGACGAAAGCUGGGGGAGCGAACCGGAUUAGAUACCCGGGUAGUCUCAGCUGUAAACGAUGCUGGCUAGGUGUUGAAGCGGCUACGAGCCGCUUCAGUGCCGCAGGGAAGCCAUUAAGCCAGCCGCCUGGGGAGUACGGCCGCAAGGCUGAAACUUAAAGGAAUUGGCGGGGGAGCACCACAAGGGGUGAAGCUUGCGGUUUAAUUGGAGUCAACGCCGGGAACCUUACCGGGCGCGACAGCAGGAUGAAAGCCAGAUUGAAGGUCUUGCUGGACGAGCUGAGAGGAGGUGCAUGGCCGUCGCCAGUUCGUGCCGUGAGGUGUCCUGUUAAGUCAGGCAACGAUCGAGACCCACACCCUCUGUUGCUACUGAGGAGUUUUCCAAGGGGCACUCUGAGGGGACUGCCGCCGAUAAGGUGGAGGAAGGAGUGGGCCACGGCAGGUCAGUAUGCCCCGAAUCGCCCGGGCCACACGCGAGCUGCAAUGGCUGGGACAAUGGGUUCCGACCCUGAAAAGGGGAGGUAAUCCCGAAACCCGGCCUCAGUUGGGAUCGAGGGCUGUAACCCGUCCUCGUGAACAUGGAAUCCCUAGUAAUCGCGCGUCAUCAGCGCGCGGUGAAUACGUCCCUGCUCCU